AAAAAAACCUUUGGUGAAAACCCUGGCUCGUUUGAAACGCGCGGAUGGUCGGGCCGGAUUCUCCCGGUCCCCCUAUGCCACUCGCGAGCCGUGUUUUUACGAACCCCUGUGUGAACCGUAAUAUUUGUUCCAUCCACGUAAUACGAAAUUUCUAGUCUAAAGUCUUCUUCAUAUCACAAGAAUAUGAUAAAAA
rnacentral:misc_RNA from 1 species